rnacentral:rRNA from 1 species
GACGAACGCUGGCGGCGUGCCUAAUACAUGCAAGUAGAACGCUGAAGAGAGGAGCUUGCUCUUCUUGGAUGAGUUGCGAACGGGUGAGUAACGCGUAGGUAACCUGCCUUGUAGCGGGGGAUAACUAUUGGAAACGAUAGCUAAUACCGCAUAACAAUGGAUGACACAUGUCAUUUAUUUGAAAGGGGCAAUUGCUCCACUACAAGAUGGACCUGCGUUGUAUUAGCUAGUAGGUGAGGUAACGGCUCACCUAGGCGACGAUACAUAGCCGACCUGAGAGGGUGGUCGGCCACACUGGGACUGUGACACGGCCCAGACGCCUACGGGAGGCAGCAGUAGGGAAUCUUCGGCAAUGGGGGCAACCCUGACCGAGCAACGCCGCGUGAGUGAAGAAGGUUUUCGGAUCGUAAAGCUCUGUUGUAAGUCAAGAACGAGUGUGAGAGUGGAAAGUUCACACUGUGACGGUAGCUUACCAGAAAGGGACGGCUAACUACGUG